UAGCUUAGUCGGUAAAGCAUCUGCCUGCCAUGCAGGAGACCUGAGUUCAACUCCUGG
rnacentral:tRNA from 1 species